UACGAAGGGGGCAAGCGUUGUUCGGAAUUACUGGGCGUAAAGCGCACGUAGGCGGCUUUGUAAGUUAGAGGUGAAAGCCCGGGGCUCAACCCCGGAAUUGCCUUUAAGACUGCAUCGCUAGAAUUGUGGAGAGGUAAGUGGAAUUCCGAGUGUAGAGGUGAAAUUCGUAGAUAUUCGGAAGAACACCAGUGGCGAAGGCGACUUACUGGACACAUAUUGACGCUGAGGUGCGAAAGCGUGGGGAGCAAACAGG
rnacentral:rRNA from 1 species